rnacentral:ncRNA from 1 species
UCCUCUGGAGACACUGCGUAUGCAGGGCCGAAGGGGCAAGAGCUUUAGCUCAAUCUCUCAGGCAAAAGGACAGAGUU